AUGUGGAGGAGUUUAGAGAAAGUUUGGCGUAGGCCCUACGUGAGAGUGAGAUGUACAAAUAAUCUUAUCACCGUCAUGAUUAAAUCGUCAUAGUAAAUUAGGUGACCUGCUCCAUAGUAUGGGUUCUAGCUUUAAUUUCGUCACCCUCACGGGUUCAGAACGUGCUCACAAAACGGGGAAUACCGACGAACGACUUAAAGCUGACGGCAUACGGAUGACGUUCUCGAGGAACACUUUCAGGACGCCACGGGUCUCUUCGUAGAUGAGGCCAGAGAUACGCUUCACACCACCUCGGCGAGCAAGACGACGGAUAGCAGGCUUGGUGAUUCCCUGGAUGUUGUCACGCAACACCUUGCGAUGACGCUUGGCGCCACCCUUUCCGAGUCCCUUUC